ACGUAGGGUGCGAGCGUUAAUCGGAAUUACUGGGCGUAAAGGGUGCGCAGGCGGUUUUGUAAGUCAGAUGUGAAAUCCCCGGGCUUAACCUGGGAACUGCGUUUGAAACUACAAGACUAGAGUGUAGCAGAGGGGGGUGGAAUUCCAUGUGUAGCAGUGAAAUGCGUAGAGAUAUGGAAGAACACCGAUGGCGAAGGCAGCCCCCUGGGUUAACACUGACGCUCAGGCACGAAAGCGUGGGGAGCAAACAGG
rnacentral:rRNA from 1 species